GGUGUGGGCAGGAGGAGGAAGAAAGGAAGGAGAAAGGGGAUGGCACAGAGCGAGUUGGAGGCUGAGCAGCCACCCAGCCGCAGGACCAAGUUGUGCCCAGAGACUCCAAUCAGGUUCCUGUUGUGAGCAUCCCUUACAUAGAGCCUGAAUGUUAAAACAGCUGGAGAUUGGGCCACUGCGGAUAUGGACAUCUGGAUGCCAUGAAGAAAUGCUUCUGAAAUUUGUGGUAACCUGUUUUGUGGUCCUCCACAAUUUCUUCCUGAAACACUCUUACAACAGUACUUGAAAUCUUAC